UUAAUUUAUUUAAUUAUUUUAUUUAUUUGUUAUUUUUAUUAUUUAAUAUAAAUAAUUUUGUUAGUUUUCUGUCUUAGUAUAUUUUAUUGAAUUGAUUCUUUCAAAUUAUAGUUUAUUAGUAAUGGGAAUGAAUUAUGGAUUUGUUUUAAAUUAAUGUAAGUAGAUUUAAUUUUUUGUACCUUUUGUAUCAGGGUUUAUCAAAAUUUAAAUUUUGAUAAAUUAAUCUCGAUUUAGGUUGAUUUACAAACAAAUUAUGGUUAUUGUUUCAUAAAUAUUAUUAAUUUGUUUGUGGAAAUGAAAUGUUAUCCGUUUCCUAAGGUAUCUGGUUUCUUGAUAAAAAGUUUAAUUUUUAAAAGUCAGUGUUUUUAUCUAAUUUUUUAAAUAAAAUUAUUGAUUUAUUUAUUUUUUAGGGGAUAAGCUCUAAAAUAUAAAUUCUAUAAUUUUUUAUUAUAAUUUAUAAUAAUAAGCUUAAAACCAGCUAUUUUUAGAUUACGUUUUAGUUCAUUCUUUAUUAUUUUGAUUUUAUAAUAAUUUUAGGUGUUUUAUCAAGAUGAUUAAUUAAAUUUUGAAAUUUUUGUAAUAAUGAUUUAAUUAGUAUAUUUUAUUUUGUUUGUAUUUUUUUUUUGUUAAUUUAUUAUAAGGAAUUAGGCAAAAUUUUAUUUCCGCCUGUUUAUCAAAAACAUGUCUUCUUGAUAAUAUUUUGAAGUCUGUCCUGCUCACUGAUUUAUUUAAAGAGCCGCGGUAUUAUGACCGUGCAAAGGUAGCAUAAUCAUUAGUCUUUUAAUUGAAGGCUGGAAUGAAUGGUUUGACGAGAAAUUGACUGUCUCUUAAUAAAUUUUAGAAUUUAACUUUUGAGUGAAAAGGCUUAAAUAAUUCUUGAGGACGAGAAGACCCUAUAGAGCUUUAUAUUAACAAGUUUAUGUAUUAUUUUUAGUUUGUUUUUUAAUAUAAGUUGUUAAUAUUUAGUUGGGGUGACUUGAAAGAUAGAAAAACCUUUCAUUAUUAAAUCAUUAAUUUAUGUUUAUUUGAUCCAUAAUUUGUGAUUAAAAGAUUAAGUUACCUUAGGGAUAACAGCGUAAUUAUUUUUGAGAGUUCAUAUCGAUAAAAUGGAUUGCGACCUCGAUGUUGGAUUAAGAUUAAUUAUAGGUGUAGUUGCUUAAUAAUUAGGUCUGUUCGACCUUUAAAUUCUUACAUGAUCUGAGUUCAGACCGGCGUAAGCCAGGUCGGUUUCUAUCCUAAGAAUAAUGUAUUCAUAUUAGUACGAAAGGACCAUAUGAAUAAAAUAUUUUUUGUUUAAAUGAUUGAAAUUAAUAAUU
rnacentral:rRNA from 1 species